CUUGUUCAUUAACCGAAACAGAUCGAUCAUAGAAAUUAUUUUGAUCAGAAUCAAAACCGAAAAGUGAUUGUUUUUAUCAGUGAGCGAUAUGAACAAGAAAAAAAAAUCUGGUCAUGAAAAUAAGAAAAUCAGGGAGCAAAAAGAGGCCGAAAUAAAAAAAGCUACAUCAGACAUACGGAAAUUCACAGGUGCAAGUGCACCAACUACUUCUGCCAGUGUUCCUAGUGCAUCUAUUCACGAUCAAAUCCAUGACGAUAUUCUCAUGGAAAACCUCGACGAAGCUCACUUCGAAGGUAAAAUAAUGUUCGUUUUGAUUACUUUCCAUUGAUAGUAUGGGCCAGGAACGAUUAAGUGGAUUAACCAUAAUUUCCAUCGAAAAUGAUAUUGCAAGUGACAUAAAUUAUGAUGAAGUUAUCCAUGAAUUUGCGUCUGCUAAAGCAAGAAAAGGUGUAUUCAAAUAGCUAUAUCUCUUUU